ensembl:ncRNA C18B12.12 ncRNA
AAAAAAGGUAAGAAACAAUUUCUCCACAUUUUUUUCUCCUUUCAUUGGCCAGGAAGAAGAGAAAAAGAUUUCUCGUAAUUAUCGCUGGUGUGGAGUGAGACUGAAAAUGACUAAGCC